UGUUUGAUGUUCUAACGUGGACCCGUGAUCCGGGUUGCGGACAGUGUCUGGUGGGUAGUUUGACUGGGGCGGUCUCCUCCUAAAGAGUAACGGAGGAGCACGAAGGUUGGCUAAUCCUGGUCGGACAUCAGGAGGUUAGUGCAAUGGCAUAAGCCAGCUUGACUGCGAGCGUGACGGCGCGAGCAGGUGCGAAAGCAGGUCAUAGUGAUCCGGUGGUUCUGAAUGGAAGGGCCAUCGCUCAACGGAUAAAAGGUACUCCGGGGAUAACAGGCUGAUACCGCCCAAGAGUUCAUAUCGACGGCGGUGUUUGGCACCUCGAUGUCGGCUCAUCACAUCCUGGGGCUGAAGUAGGUCCCAAGGGUAUGGCUGUUCGCCAUUUAAAGUGGUACGCGAGCUGGGUUUAGAACGUCGUGAGACAGUUCGGUCCCUAUCUGCCGUGGGCGCUGGAGAACUGAGGGGGGCUGCUCCUAGUACGAGAGGACCGGAGUGGACGCAUCACUGGUGUUCGGGUUGUCAUGCCAAUGGCACUGCCCGGUAGCUAAAUGCGGAAGAGAUAAGUGCUGAAAGCAUCUAAGCACGAAACUUGCCCCGAGAUGAGUUCUCCCUGAGACUUUAAGUCUCCUGAAGGAA
rnacentral:rRNA from 1 species